rnacentral:rRNA from 1 species
GACGUAGGGCGCGAGCGUUGUCCGGAUUUAUUGGGCGUAAAGAGCGUGUAGGCGGCCAGGUAGGUCUGCUGUGAAAACUCGAGGCUCAACCUCGAGACGUCGGCGGAAACCAUCUGGCUAGAGUCCGGAAGAGGAGAGUGGAAUUCCUGGUGUAGCGGUGAAAUGCGCAGAUAUCGAGGAAGAACACCCGUGGCGAAGGCGGCUCUCUGGGGACGGUAACUGACGCUGAGACGCGAAAGCGUGGGGAGCGAACAGG